GUUGAACGCUGGCGGCGUGCCUAAUACAUGCAAGUCGAGCGAAGCGGGGACGGGGGAGUAACAUGUGGAGAACCCCCUAUAAGACUGGGGUAAAUUCGGGAAACCGGUACUAAAACGGAUUCUUAUCGAUGGUUGCGCGCUGCAUUAGCUAGGUGGUAAGGUAACGGCUUACCAAGGCAACGAUGCAUAUCCGACCUGAGAGGGUGAUCGGCCACACUGGAACUGAGACACGGUCCAGACUCCUACGGGAGGCAGCAGUAGGGAAUCUUCCGCAAGGGGCGAAAGCCUGACGGAGCAACGCCGCGUGAGUGAUGAAGGUCUUCGGAUCGUAAAAUUCUGUUAUUAGGGAAGCGUUACCUAAUCAGAAAGCCACGGCUAACUCCGUGCCAGCAGCCGCGGUAAUUC
rnacentral:rRNA from 1 species